rnacentral:rRNA from 1 species
ACGGUGAAUACGUUCCCGGGUCUUGUACACACCGCCCGUCACACCACGAGAGUUUGUAACACCCGAAGCCGGUGGAGUAACCUUUUAGGAGCUAGCCGUCGAAGGUGGGACAAAUGAUUGGGGUGAAGUCGUAACAAGGUAGCCGUAUCGGAAGGUGCGGCUGGAUCACCUCCUUUCUAA